rnacentral:rRNA from 1 species
GACGAACCGUGCAAACGUUAUUCGGAAUCACUGGGCUUAAAGGGCGCGUAGGCGGGCGGUCAAGUCAGGGGUGAAAUCUUUCGGCUCAACCGGAAAAGUGCCUUUGAUACUGGCCGUCUGGAGGGAGGUAGGGGCGUGCGGAACUUUGGGUGGAGCGGUGAAGUGCGUAGAUAUCCAAAGGAACACCGGUGGCGAAAGCGGCGCGCUGGACCUCUACUGACGCUGAGGCGCGAAAGCCAGGGGAGCAAACGGG